rnacentral:sRNA from 1 species
AUAAGGGUGCAGAAAAUUCACACAUCUAUCGACACAUAAGUUUGGGGUGCCUGCUAACUUAGGUUGUAUUAUGGGGUAGAUGGAGGUUUUAAC